AAUAGAUACCCGGGUAGUCCACGCCGUAAACGAUGUCGACUUGGAGGUUGUUCCCUUGAGGAGUGGCUUCCGGAGCUAACGCGUUAAGUCGACCGCCUGGGGAGUACGGCCGCAAGGUUAAAACUCAAAUGAAUUGACGGGGGCCCGCACAAGCGGUGGAGCAUGUGGUUUAAUUCGAUGCAACGCGAAGAACCUUACCUACUCUUGACAUCCACGGAACUUUUCAGAGAUGAAUUGGUGCCUUCGGGAACCGUGAGACAGGUGCUGCAUGGCUGUCGUCAGCUCGUGUUGUGAAAUGUUGGGUUAAGUCCCGCAACGAGCGCAACCCUUAUCCUUUGUUGCCAGCGGUCCGGCCGGGAACUCAAAGGAGACUGCCAGUGAUAAACUGGAGGAAGGUGGGGAUGACGUCAAGUCAUCAUGGCCCUUACGAGUAGGGCUACACACGUGCUACAAUGGCGCAUACAAAGAGAAGCGACCUCGCGAGAGCAAGCGGACCUCAUAAAGUGCGUCGUAGUCCGGAUUGGAGUCUGCAACUCGACUCC
rnacentral:rRNA from 1 species